GGUACGAGGGGACCAAAGUAUUUAUCGUCUUGAAGAGUGGGCUCGCGGCUGAUUAGCUAGUUGGUAAGGUAACGGCUUACCAAGGCGACGAUCAGUAGCCGAACUGAGAGGUUGAUCGGCCACAUUGGGACUGAGACACGGCCCAGACUCCUACGGGGAGGCAGCAGGUCGGGAAUAUUGCACAAUGGGGGAAACCCUGAUGCAGCGACGCCGCGUAAAGGAAGAAGGUCUUCGGAUUGUAAACUUUUGUCGACAGGGAAGAAAAAUGACAGUACCUGUGGAGGAAGCCCCGGCUAACUACGUG
rnacentral:rRNA from 1 species